UACGUAGGUGGCAAGCGUUGUCCGGAAUUAUUGGGCGUAAAGCGCGCGCAGGCGGUUCUUUAAGUCUGAUGUGAAAGCCCACGGCCUCAACCGUGGAGGGUCAUUGGAAACUGGAGAACUUUGAGUACAGAAGAGGAAAGCGGAAUUCCACGUGUAGCGGUGAAAUGCGUAGAGAUGUGGAGGAACACCAGUGGCGAAGGCGGCUUUCUGGUCUGUAACUGACGCUGAGGCGCGAAAGCGUGGGGAGCAAACAGG
rnacentral:rRNA from 1 species